rnacentral:rRNA from 1 species
UACGUAGGGAGCAAGCGUUGUCCGGAAUCAUUGGGCGUAAAGCGCGCGUAGGUGGCCUCGUAAGUCCGCUGUGAAAGUCAAAGGCUCAACCUUUGAAAGCCGGUGGAUACUGUGAGGCUAGAGUACGGAAGAGGCGAGUGGAAUUGCUGGUGUAGCGGUGGAAUGCGCAGAUAUCAGGAGGAACACCAAUAGCGAAGGCAGCUCGCUGGGACGUUACUGACACUGAGGCGCGAAAGCGUGGGGAGCGAACAGG